ACACGUCCAAGACGUCCGGUUGGUACGUUA
rnacentral:sRNA from 1 species